rnacentral:rRNA from 1 species
GACGAACGCUGGCGGCGUGCUUAACACAUGCAAGUCGAACGCUGAACCCGCUUCGGUGGGGGAUGAGUGGCGAACGGGUGAGUAACACGUGGGCAACCUGCCCCCGGCUCUGGGAUAACUCCAAGAAAUUGGGGCUAAUACCGGAUGUGACCGCUGGCCGCAUGGUCUGGUGGUGGAAAGGGUUUCCGGCUGGGGAUGGGCCCGCGGCCUAUCAGCUUGUUGGUGGGGUAGUGGCCUACCAAGGCGACGACGGGUAGCCGGCCUGAGAGGGUGACCGGCCCCACUGGGACUGAGACACGGCCCAGACUCCUACGGGAGGCAGCAGUGGGGAAUAUUGCGCAAUGGGCGGAAGCCUGACGCAGCGACGCCGCGUGGGGGAUGACGGCCUUCGGGUUGUAAACCUCUUUCAGCAGGGACGAAGCGCAAGUGACGGUACCUGCAGAAGAAGCACCGGCCAACUACGUG